UACGGAGGGGGCUAGCGUUAUUCGGAAUUACUGGGCGUAAAGCGCACGUAGGCGGAUUGAAAAGUCAGAGGUGAAAUCCCAGAGCUCAACUUUGGAACUGCCUUUGAAACUCUCAGUCUUGAGGUCGAGAGAGGUGAGUGGAAUUCCGAGUGUAGAGGUGAGAUUCGUAGAUAUUCGGAGGAACACCAGUGGCGAAGGCGGCUCACUGGCUCGAUACUGACGCUGAGGUGCGAAAGCGUGGGGAGCAAACAGG
rnacentral:rRNA from 1 species